rnacentral:rRNA from 1 species
UACGAAGGGGGCUAGCGUUGCUCGGAAUUACUGGGCGUAAAGCGCACGUAGGCGGCUCUUUAAGUCUGGGGUGAAAUCCUGGAGCUCAACUCCAGAACUGCCUUCGAUACUGGAGAGCUUGAGUCCGGGAGAGGUGAGUGGAACUGCGAGUGUAGAGGUGAAAUUCGUAGAUAUUCGCAAGAACACCAGUGGCGAAGGCGGCUCACUGGCCCGGUACUGACGCUGAGGUGCGAAAGCGUGGGGAGCAAACAGG